rnacentral:rRNA from 1 species
AGAGUUUGAUCCUGGCUCAGAAUGAACGCUGGCGGCGUGCUUAACACAUGCAAGUCGAACGAGAAAUCCUCUGCUUGCAGAGGAGAGUAAAGUGGCGCACGGGUGAGUAACGCGUGGGUAAUCUACCCUUGGAUUUUGGAUAACACUUCGAAAGGGGUGCUAAUACUGGAUAACAUCCUGACGGUUUAGACGGUUGGGAUCAAAGAUAGCCACUACAUGUAAGCUAUUGUCUGAGGAUGAGCCCGCGUACCAUUAGCUAGUUGGUAGGGUAAGAGCCUACCAAGGCGACGAUGGUUAGCUGGUCUGAGAGGAUGAUCAGCCACACUGGAACUGGAACACGGUCCAGACUCCUACGGGAGGCAGCAGUGAGGAAUUUUGCGCAAUGGGGGGAACCCUGACGCAGCAACGCCGCGUGAGUGAAGAAGGCUUUCGGGUCGUAAAGCUCUGUCAAGAGGGAAGAAAGUGGUGUAUGGAAAUACCAUAUAUUAUUGACGGUACCUCUGAAGGAAGCACCGGCUAACUCCGUGCCAGCAGCCGCGGUAAUACGGGGGGUGCAAGCGUUAUUCGGAUUUAUUGGGCGUAAAGAGCGCGUAGGCGGUUCAUCAAGUCAGAUGUGAAAGCCCUGGGCUCAACCUGGGAAGUGCAUUUGAAACUAGUAGACUUGAGUAUGGGAGAGGGGAGUGGAAUUCCUGGUGUAGAGGUGAAAUUCGUAGAUAUCAGGAGGAACACCGGUGGCGAAGGCGACUUCCUGGACCAAUACUGACGCUGAGGCGCGAAGGCGUGGGGAGCAAACAGGAUUAGAUACCCUGGUAGUCCACGCAGUAAACGGUGAUCACUAGGUGUAGCGGGUAUUGACCCCUGCUGUGCCGCAGUUAACGCAUUAAGUGAUCCGCCUGGGAAGUACGAUCGCAAGGUUAAAACUCAAAUGAAUUGACGG